rnacentral:rRNA from 1 species
UUGACGGGACCCGCACAAGCGGUGGAUGAUGUGGAUUAAUUCGAUGCAACGCGAAAACCUUACCCACCUUUGACAUGGCAGGAAUCCCGAAGAGAUUUGGGAGUGCUCGAAAGAGAACCUGCACACAGGUGCUGCAUGGCUGUCGUCAGCUCGUGUCGUGAGAUGUUGGGUUAAGUCCCGCAACGAGCGCAACCCUUUGCCAUUAGUUGCUACGAAAGGGCACUCUAAUGGGACUGCCGGUGACAAACCGGAGGAAGGUGGGGAUGACGUCAAGUCCUCAUGGCCCUUAUAGGUGGGGCUACACACGUCAUACAAUGGCCGGUACAGAGGGUAGCCAACCCGCGAGGGGGAGCCAAUCCCACAAAGCCGGUCGUAGUCCGGAUCGCAGUCUGCAACUCGACUGCGUGAAGUCGGAAUCGCUAGUAAUCGCGGAUCAGCAUGUCGCGGUGAAUACGUUCCCGGGUCUU